rnacentral:rRNA from 1 species
UUUUAGGGGUAAAGAGUGGAUGCCUUGGCACCAGCAGGUGAUGAAGGGCGUAGCAAGUUGCGAUAAUCUCGGGGGAGCUGCAAGCAGGCUUCGAUCCCGAGGUGCCCGAAUGGGGAAACCCACAUCUCUCAAUAAAGAGAUGUAUCACACCGUUUGGUGUGAGGCGAACCUGGGGAAGUGAAACAUCUCAGUACCCAGAGGAAAAGAAAUCAAAUGAGAUUCCCUGAGUAGUGGUGAGCGAAAGGGGAGGAGCCUAAACCAGCUUAGUGUAAACCUAGGGGUGUUGCUAAGCUGGGGUUGUGGGGCAAAGUUGGGGAGAUCCCUAGAUCUCUCGAAAGAUUCUUACUAUCUAACCGAACUACAUGGGAAGGUAGGCCAUAGAGAGUGAUAGCCUCGUAGGUGAAAGGUAGUAGGAACUUUUGGACUUUGUUCCCGAGUACCGCGAAUUACGGGAAGGUUCGCGGAAAUCUGGGGGGACCACCCUCCAAGGCUAAAUACUCGCUGGUGACCGAUAGUGAACUAGUACCGUGAGGGAAAGGUGAAAAGAACCCCGGUGAGGGGAGUGAAAUAGAUCCUGAAACUCUUUACCCACAAUCCGUCAGAGGGGAGUAAUCCCUGAUGGCGUGCCUAUUGAAGAAUGAGCUGGCGAGUUGCCGUCUAUUGCAAGGUUAACCUACUUUAGUAGGGGAGCCGUAGCGAAAGCGAGUCUGAAUAGGGCGUUAGUAAUAGGCGGUAAACCCGAAGCCGGUCGAUCUAACCAUGGCCAGGGUGAAUCUGGGGGAAACCCUGGAGGAGGCCCGAACCGAUGAGCGUUGCAAAGUUCUCGGAUGAGCUGUGGUUAGGAGUGAAAGGCUAAACAAGGCCGGUGAUAGCUGGUUCUCCCCGAAACAUGUCUAGGCAUGGGCUCUGAAAGUAGCACAUGGGGGUAGAGUACUGGAUAGGUAAGGAGGCCAAAAGCUUCUAAGCCUAACCAAACUCCGAAUACCAUGUGUGUAAUUCAGGGACUCAGUCUGUAGGGGUAAGCUCUAUGGACGAGAGGGCAAGAACCCAGACUAUCGGCUAAGGUCUCUAAAAGACGCUAAGUGUUAAAGGAUGUGGAAUCUCUAAGACAGCCAGGAUGUUGGCUUAGAAGCAGCCAUCAUUUAAAGAGUGCGUAAUAGCUCACUGGUCAAGAGGUUCUGCGCCUAAGAUGUGAGGAGGCUAAGCGUCUUGCCGAAGCCAUAGGCCCUAGGAGGUAACUUCUAGGACGGUAGGGGAGCGUUCUGUAGUCAGUGAAGUCAAACUGCGAAGUUUGGUGGAGAUUACAGAAGUGAGAAUGCCAGCUUGAGUAGCACUAAGAGAGGUGAAAAUCCUCUCCGCCGGAUGCCCAAGGGUUCCAGGGCAACGAUGAUCGUCCCUGGGUUAGUCAGUACCCUAAGGUGAGGCCGAAAGGCGUAGCCGAUGGGAAGCAGGUUAAUAUUCCUGCACUAGCCGCUAUAUCUCAAGCGAUGGGGUGACGCGGAUGAGUAGGGUGAGCGUCCUAAUGGUAUGGGCGUUCAAGGUAGGAAGCUGAGAGUGAGGCAAAUCCUUGCUCUCGUUAAGGCUGAAUACCGAGUACGAGGCACUCUUCGGAGUGCCCAAGUCACCUGGGCUUGGUCCGCCAAGAAAUAACCUCUAAGCAGUAUAUAACGGCUAACUGUACCGCAAACCGACACUGGUGGGCUAGGGGAAUACCCAUAGGCGAUCGAGUGAGCCCUCGCCAAGGAACUCGGCAAGUUGGCCCCGUAACUUCGGAAGAAGGGGUGCCUCCUUUCCUUAGUGUGCUUUAUGGUACGCUAAGGAAAGAGGUCGCAGUGAAAUGGCUCAGCCGACUGUUUAUCAAAAACACAGGUCUCUGCAAACUCGUAAGAGGAUGUAUAGGGGCUGACGCCUGCCCAGUGCCGGAAGGUCAAGGGGAGGGGUUAGUGGGGUUUCCCCACGAAGCUCCAAACUUAAGCCCCGGUAAACGGCGGCCGUAACUAUAACGGUCCUAAGGUAGCGAAAUUCCUUGUCGGGUAAGUUCCGACGCGCAUGAAUGGCGUAACGAGCUGAGCACUGUCUCGGCGGGGGGCUCGGCGAAUUAGCGAGGCCAGUGAAGACGCUGGCUACCUGCGGCGGGACGGAAAGACCCCGUGGACCUUUACUGUAUCCUGGUAUUGAAUUCUGGUGCAUCAUGCGCAGGAUAGGUGGGAGGCUUUGAAGUAGCGCUUUCGGGCGCUAUGGAGCCGUCGGUGAGAUACCACCCUUGAUGUACUGGGGUUCUAACCCCUUUCGUGUAGAAAGGAGGACAGUGCUAGGUUGACAGUUUAACUGGGGCGGUUGCCUCCUAAAAAGUAACGGAGGUGUCCAAAGGUUCCCUCAGGCUGGACGGAAACCAGCCGUUGAGUGCAAAGGCAUAAGGGAGCUUAACUGCGAGACCGACAGGUCAAGCAGAUGGGAAACCAGGGCUUAGUGAUCCGGUGACUUUGUGUGGAAAAGUCAUCGCUCAGCGGAUAAAAGGUACCCCGGGGAUAACAGGCUGAUAGGGCCCAAGAGUCCAUAUCGACGGCCCUGUUUGGCACCUCGAUGUCGGCUCAUCCUAUCCUGGGGCUGUAGAAGGUCCCAAGGGUUGGUCUGUUCGCCCAUUAAAAGGGUACGUGAGCUGGGUUCAGAACGUCGUGAGACAGUUCGGUCCCAAUCUGUCGCAGGCGCUUGGGCAUUUGAGGGGGGUUGCUCCUAGUACGAGAGGACCGGAGUGAAGGAACCUCUGGUAUACCAGUUGUUUCACCAGAAGCAGCGCUGGGUAGCCAUGUUCCUAGGCGAUAACCGCUGAAAGCAUCUAAGCGGGAAGCGCGCCCCAAGAUAAGAUGCCCCUGAAGGGCCCUGGUAGAUUACCAGGUUGAUAGGGUGCAGGUGUAAGCACAGAAAUGUGUUGAGCUGAGCACUACUAAUAGCCCGUCUGGCAUAGCUAU